AAUACACUCCGGUAGCAAAGUACCACCUGGAUUGUAUAUAUGCGUCGGUAUAUGUGACUCUAUAGUUUUAAAUAAAAAUGUGGUGCAGCCACAUAUAUCCUCCGUACUAGUAUUGAUUUAAUAAUAACUUGUUACCCUAUUGGUAAUGGUUUCGUUUCUGAGUGGUGAGUUUUUCCAUCGUUAAUGGACGUUAUUUAAUACCAGUGUUGACUGAAUCAUAUACCUAGUACCGGCUAAAGUUCUGUUAUAAGAUUUCCCGGGUAAAUUAAGCAGGCGAACAAUUUUUUUUAGAAAGUUGUACUAUUUUUUAUUGAAAUCUCCAUGCAGUUGUCCUUCAGAAACUAUGUUUCAAAAAUUUUUGCGACCCAGAUCUGAGAACUUGGCCUGUUUCUAUUUUUCAGCAACAUUUUAGUGAGCAUGACAAUCGACAUUUUUAAAUUGUUCAGUAAAAAUCGGAAUUGAUUGUAAGAUGGUCGACCGUACCAUAAAAUGAUGCAGUGACACUGGCAGUGUCGAUGACCGCAAAAGAAGUGGAAGGGGACGGCCAAAAAGGUUACCAAAAUUAACCAAGGCGCAAAAAACUGGAUUCGUCCGAAUCUAUGCCGAGCCCUAAGAAUAUUUCCCUCACAAAUGAAUGGAUCAAGUAAAAGUAAGUCCCGGGCCCAUAAACUGGACCUUGGACUUAUGCCUUCAAGACAUGAGGAGAAACACUUCCUAACUACACGCCAAGUAUAAACAGACCCAUCAGAACCCGGGCGCUGAUCAUGCGGUACGAGCUUGAAAAAUGGAAACGGAUAUUUUCAACAAAUGAGCCAAACUUUAUGGUUUUCAAGCGAGUUGCGAGACCCGUGAACCACAACCUAUUCAAAAACAGCGAAGUGACAUUCAAGCAGGGCUCUCGUCCUAUUCAUGAGGCCAAGAUGUUAAUUGGGUGGUUGAAAUCAAAAAUUCCUAACUCCAGUUCGGAUCAAGAAAAAAAAUCACUGCCGCCGAAGCUUAGGCUUCUGAACUAUGACAUAUUUUCCAAACUGGAGCUAGGGGUGUGUGUAAAACUCCACACAAGUUUGGAAUCCAUAAAAAAUUCAACGGUCUAGAAAUAAGGCCAAUCUCCCCUGGAACGCUUGCGUACUCCGAUCGAGUGGUUGAUACCAAGACUUCUGGCUCGUGUAGCCUGAAAGAUUGACAUUUUGAAAAGUGAAUAGUGUUUCUUAUACGAAAUUUCAUUGGCUUUUCAAUUUUAUACUUAUUUUUUCGAAAUUCAAUAAAUUGGGUUAGCUACAA